rnacentral:rRNA from 1 species
GAUCCUGGCUCAGGAUGAACGCUAGCUACAGGCUUAACACAUGCAAGUCGAGGGGCAGCAUGGUCUUAGCUUGCUAAGGCUGAUGGCGACCGGCGCACGGGUGAGUAACACGUAUCCAACCUGCCGAUUAUUCCGGGAUAGCCUUUCGAAAGAAAGAUUAAUACUGGAUAGCAUAACGAGAAGGCAUCUUCUUGUUAUUAAAGAAUUUCGAUAAUCGAUGGGGAUGCGUUCCA